GACGAACGCUGGCGGCGUGCUUAACACAUGCAAGUCGAACGGUAAGGCCCUUCGGGGUACACGAGUGGCGAACGGGUGAGUAACACGUAGGUGAUCUGCCCUGCACUUCGGGAUAAGCCUGGGAAACUGGGUCUAAUACCGGAUAGGACCACUGCCUGCAUGGGUGGUGGUGGAAAGCUUUUGCGGUGUGGGAUGGGCCCGCGGCCUAUCAGCUUGUUGGUGGGGCGAUGGCCUACCAAGGCGACGACGGGUAGCCGGCCUGAGAGGGUGACCGGCCACGCUGGGACUGAGAUACGGCCCAGACUCCUACGGGAGGCAGCAGUGGGAAUAUUGCACAAUGGGCGCAAGCCUGAUGCAGCGACGCCGCGUGAGGGAUGACGGCCUUCGGGUUGUAAACCUCUUUCAGCACCGACGAAGCGCAAGUGACGGUAGGUGCAGAAGAAGGACCGGCCAACUACGUGCCAGCCGCCGCCGUAA
rnacentral:rRNA from 1 species